rnacentral:piRNA from 1 species
UGGACGUGCUUAGGAACAGGGUGCUGGUU